rnacentral:rRNA from 1 species
UACGAAGGGGGCUAGCGUUGCUCGGAAUCACUGGGCGUAAAGCGCACGUAGGCGGAUUGUUAAGUCGGGGGUGAAAUCCUGGAGCUCAACUCCAGAACUGCCUUCGAUACUGGCGAUCUCGAGUCCGGGAGAGGUGAGUGGAACUCCGAGUGUAGAGGUGAAAUUCGUAGAUAUUCGGAAGAACACCAGUGGCGAAGGCGGCUCACUGGACUGGUAUUGACGCUGAGGUGCGAAAGCGUGGGGAGCAAACAGG